rnacentral:rRNA from 1 species
UACGUAGGGUGCAAGCGUUGUCCGGAAUUAUUGGGCGUAAAGAGCUCGUAGGCGGUCUGUCGCGUCGGCUGUGAAAUCCCGAGGCUCAACCUCGGGUCUGCAGUCGAUACGGGCAAACUAGAGUAUUGCAGGGGAGACUGGAAUUCCUGGUGUAGCGGUGAAAUGCGCAGAUAUCAGGAGGAACACCGGUGGCGAAGGCGGGUCUCUGGGCAGUGGCUGACGCUGAGGCGCGACAGCGUGGGGAGCAAACAGG